rnacentral:rRNA from 1 species
CAUGAUGUCAUUCAUUUGNUGUUGUGGGNAAUUAGGACUGUUACCUUGAAAAAAUUAGAGUGUUUAAAGCAGGCUAACGCUUGAAUACAUUAGCACGGAAUAAUGAAAUAGGACAUCCCAUUCUAUUUUGUUGGUUUCUAGGAUCGAUGUAAUGAUUAAUAGGGAUAGUUGGGGGCAUUAGUAUUCAAUUGUCAGAGGUGAAAUUCUUGGAUUUAUUGAAGACUAACUACUGCGAAAGCAUUUGCCAAGGAUGUUUUCAUUAAUCAAGAACGAAAGUUAGGGGAUCGAAGACGAUCAGAUACCGUCGUAGUCUUAACCAUAAACUAUGCCGACUAGGGAUCGGAUGAUGCUNAUCUUUUAAUGACUCAUUCGGCACCUUACGGGAAACCAAAGUGUUUGGGUUCCGGGGGGAGUAUGGUCGCAAGGCUGAAACUUAAAGGAAUUGACGGAAGGGCACCACCAGGGGUGGAGCCUGCG